GCAUGAAGCAAGACUUUAAGUUUAAAGUCACAGUGGAGCCACUGAGCAGUGAGACUAAGCGUACUCGUCAGGCUUACAUCUGAAGACCAAACAUCUGUGGUGAAGUUAAUCGCGGAGUGGUUAUGAAGGAGCUCGUGAAUAUGAUCUGUCAUACGGUUGUAUAACUCCGAUAUGAAUCAGCUUUGGCAACCUUCUACUACAAAGAGAAGUCUGAAACAAAACAGAGCAGUCAUGAGUCGCGGGAAACGUUCCGGCCUGUGUCCAAUAAUUUGGUGGAAGAGUGGAUGUACUACAGACCACUAAAAACAGGCGAGAGUGAAUUCCUUCUAUGAAGCAAUCAAGUGAAAGAAAGGGCAGAUGAGUGCAUCAGAGCUUUGGAUCUUCUGAUUGACAUCAAUUCAGGAAAGUCUGUGGAAAAUGUCUUGCUGUCUGAAUUUGACUGGUCAAAAUUGACCAGUUUACCAGUUUUUUUUUUUUUUUUUUUUAAUUACACAAAAAAAGUCUUUAUCUAAAAACAUGAGUGUGUCCAUUGACAUG